AGUGAGAUAAAUGAAGACAGAUUCUUCUCCUGGGUUCAUUUCAAUGUUUUCUCUGUCAGUGUGAACUAGAAGCAGCUCCACAGAGAUGAAAACAGCCGCAGAGACUCUGAGCGGAGCUAACGAUGCUAACGAUGCUAACAGGCUCCAGCAGCAGCUUCAGAGGAGCUGUGGCUCCUAAACUGGAGCUUCAGCUCCAACAGAGCUGAAUCAAAGCUCUACAACUCUGGUUUAGACGCUAAGAUGCUGAGCUUCCGGUCUGAAGAUCAGCCUCCAUUUUGAGCUGCAGGAUGGAAAUAACUUGCUGACUUGUUACUAGAGGACAGUUACUGGAACCGGAUCACUGGACUGACUGGUUCUGGUUUCUCUCUCCAAAAGGCCAGAAGAUGGAAGAUCAGGACAGAGCAGAACCUCCAGGACCCAUCAGUCCAUCUAUGAGGAGUGACCAUUCCAAAGGUUGGGUUCCAGACUUCAGUAAUGAACCUGAACCAUCAGACAGAAAGAGCUGUGAGUGUGAAGAAAGACCCAGAACAGGAGCUGAACGGCCGACAGCCAAUCAGAGCAGCUGCUCUCCAGAUUUUGAUAUUCGGUGUCAGAGUGACCAUAAAGCGUCUCUGAAGAAGAAGUUCCAGAGUCUCUCUGAAGGCGUCGCUGAACCUGGAAAUCAAACCGUUCUGAACCAGAUCUACACAGAGCUCCACAUCACAGAGGGGUUAACUAGAGAGGUCAACCAGGAACAUGAGGUCAGACACAUUGAAACAGCAUCCAGGAAACAAGAAACAAUCAGAAGAGAAGACAUCUUUAAAGUCCC